rnacentral:rRNA from 1 species
GGAGUUAGCCGGUGCUUCUUCUGCGAGUAACGUCACAGAUGUAAGGUAUUAACUUACACCCUUUCCUCCUCGCUGAAAGUGCUUUACAACCCGAAGGCCUUCUUCACACACGCGGCAUGGCUGCAUCAGGGUUUCCCCCAUUGUGCAAUAUUCCCCACUGCUGCCUCCCGUAGGAGUCUGGGCCGUGUCUCAGUCCCAGUGUGGCUGAUCAUCCUCUCAGACCAGCUAGGGAUCGUCGCCUAGGUGAGCCUUUACCUCACCUACUAGCUAAUCCCACCUGGGCUUAUCCAUCAGCGCAAGGCCCGAAGGUCCCCUGCUUUCCCCCGUAGGGCGUAUGCGGUAUUAGCAGUCGUUUCCAACUGUUAUCCCCCACAAAUGGGCAAAUUCCCAGGCAUUACUCACCCGUCCGCCGCUCGUCAUCUUCAAAAGCAAGCUUUUGAAAUGUUACCGCUCGACUUGCAUGUGUUAGGCCUGCCGCCAAGCGUUCAAUCUGAACCAAGAUCAAAUUCUGA